UACAGAGGUCUCAAGCGUUGUUCGGAUUCAUUGGGCGUAAAGGGUGUGUAGGUGGCGCCGUAAGUCGGGUGUGAAAUUUCGGAGCUUAACUCCGAAACUGCAUUCGAUACUGCGGUGCUUGAGGACUGGAGAGGAGACUGGAAUUCAUGAUGUAGCAGUGAAAUGCGUAGAGAUCAUGAGGAAGACCAGUGGCGAAGGCGGGUCUCUGGACAGUUCCUGACGCUGAGGCACGAAGGCCAGGGGAGCAAACGGG
rnacentral:rRNA from 1 species